UACGAAGGGACCUAGCGUAGUUCGGAAUUACUGGGCUUAAAGAGUUCGUAGGUGGUUGAAAAAGUUGGUGGUGAAAUCCCAGAGCUUAACUCUGGAACUGCCAUCAAAACUUUUUAGCUAGAGUAUGAUAGAGGAAAGCAGAAUUUCUAGUGUAGAGGUGAAAUUCGUAGAUAUUAGAAAGAAUACCAAUUGCGAAGGCAGCUUUCUGGAUCAUUACUGACACUGAGGAACGAAAGCAUGGGUAGCGAAGAGG
rnacentral:rRNA from 1 species